rnacentral:rRNA from 1 species
AUGAACGCUGGCGGCGUGCCUAAUACAUGCAAGUCGAGCGAACAGACGAGGAGCUUGCUCCUUUGACGUUAGCGGCGGACGGGUGAGUAACACGUGGAUAACCUACCUAUAAGACUGGGAUAACUUCGGGAAACCGGAGCUAAUACCGGAUAACAUGUUGAACCGCAUGGUUCAACAGUGAAAGACGGUCUUGCUGUCACUUAUAGAUGGAUCCGCGCCGCAUUAGCUAGUUGGUAAGGUAACGGCUUACCAAGGCAACGAUGCGUAGCCGACCUGAGAGGGUGAUCGGCCACACUGGAACUGAGACAUGGUCCAGACUCCUACGGGAGGCAGCAGUAGGGAAUCUUCCGCAAUGGGCGAAAGCCUGACGGAGCAACGCCGCGUGAGUGAAGAAGGUCUUCGGAUCGUAAAACUCUGUUAUUAGGGAAGAACAAAUGUGUAAGUAACUAUGCACGUCUUGACGGUAUCUAAUCAGAAAGCCACGGCUAACUACGUG